GGGUAGGACUGCCCCCCAAGCAAUGGGAACUAGCAAGGGCCAGGCUGAUGGCCAUGCUCCCCGGAAUCCAGGGGCAAAGAAGGGCAGGAACUCUUGGGUGGAGGAAGCCUUAAAGGAGGGACUGUGAAGAAACAGCAGAAGGGGCGGGAAGGAGGUGCCAACAACCAGAGCGUUGUGAUGUCCGCUCCUGACAUAUGAAUGGAGUUACAAAUCACCCUGCAGUGCUGUGUAAACGUUGCUGCUUGGAAACUAUGUGGGACUGAUUACAGUGUACAGACCUCGGAGAACAUUCCUGGUUUCCAACUGACCAAGACCAAGCCGGCUCCAGAUGAUAUACGGCUGGAGGGAAGGGAUCCACGAGGCUGCUGAGCUCACCAUGAAGAGUCUUCUGGAUGCUACCAUUGCUGUUGCAUCUCACUCAGGAAAGAGAUAACCAAGUGCCUGACAUAUGCUUCCCUCUGUGGAGAGGGCACUAAAGGUCCUUGAGCAGCGAGUCUUCAACAGCUCAGCAGAGAACUGGCCUGGUCUCCAUGAGUGUCAGAAGCCCCAGUGAAGAUUCCAUGAGCGAGCGUCCCACCACUACAGAAAAGGCUGAAGGGAGUGGGGCCUCUUCGCACAAAACCAGAAAUCCCUCAGUCGACCUAAGGUGGCAGCUACUGGCAACUGAGAGCUACGUGUGAGCAGGACCACUUCGUCCUAAUUCAUACAGCUUGUUCUCUACAAGCUCUAAAAUCUAAUUGUUUUCAAAGACAUGCCCAGCAAAUGCUGAUGCCCGUCCUUUCCCUCCUGCACACUGUCCCUCCCUCCUUCCCCUCCCGGCCUCCAUUAUUUUUGGCAUAGAGACUAAACACAGUUUCUCGGACAUGCUAGGCAUGUACUAGGCGAAUACUCCUCCACUGAGCUAUAGGCAGCCUUUGAAUGAAAAAUUUUCAACUUUUUAUUUUUGAGACAGGGUCUAACUAAUUUCACCAGCAUAGCCCAGGGUAACCCAGUGUAGCCCAGAGUAUCCCUUAGCUUUGUAAUCCUCCUGACUCAGCAUGUUUUUCCUCUUACAGAAUAUCACAGGCUUCUCAUGCUGUUGGGAUGUAUAAUUCUAAUUAUUUAUCUACCCCAAGGAUACAUACCUGUGUCUCAGUGUCUCUGUAGCCUGGUACUUGGCACUGGACAGUGUCCAGAAAUGCUCCCUAUGAACAAAAUCCCAUAAGCACUGCACAGGACACCUCAGAACCAUUUCAUCAACUAUGCAAACUGGGGGUCCAUGACCAUGAAGAGAUGAAAGAAAAGAUGCUGUGUGCCAAGAAGCCAGAAUUUAGUAGUUAUAAAAGUUAUAACUGGCAUAUAAACCAUGUUGUACUUCUGAAUUCCUCUGCACAAUUACACAUACACUCAACCAUACAAAACGUGGAUUAAAACAUGGUGAACACUUAGAGCAACUCAUGUCUAGGAAACAUGGCCGUUUACUCUGAGGCAGACUUUCAAUUCUAGUGUGCACAUGGGUUGAGCAUCCUUUACCCAAAUAUCCAAACUGUUCUGAGCACUGAUACACCACCAGGGUAGAAAAUUCCACACCUAAUCUCAUGUGCUAGAUCACAGUUGAAAGACUGGCAUGAAACAGCACCACAGAACCAAAUCUAGGCUGAAUGUAUGAGGUAUACAUGGGCAUGAGUGAAUUUCAUGUACAGAUUCGAGUCCUUUCCCCCAAGAGAUCCUAAAAUUCACAAAAUAAAAACAAAAUGUGAAAUUGG